ACGAACGCUGGCGGCGUGCCUAAUACAUGCAAGUCGAACGAGAGCGACCGGUGCUUGCACUGGUCAAUCUAGUGGCGAACGGGUGAGUAACACGUGGGUAACCUGCCCAUCAGAGGGGGAUAACAUCCGGAAACGGAUGCUAAAACCGCAUAGGUCUUCGAGCCGCAUGGCUUGAAGAGGAAAAGAGGCGCAAGCUUCUGCUGAUGGAUGGACCCGCGGUGCAUUAGCUAGUUGGUGAGGUAACGGCUCACCAAGGCCGUGAUGCAUAGCCGACCUGAGAGGGUGAUCGGCCACAUUGGGACUGAGACACGGCCCAAACUCCUACGGGAGGCAGCAGUAGGGAAUCUUCCGCUAUGGACGCAAGUCUGACGGAGCAACGCCGCGUGAGUGAAGAAGGUUUUCGGAUCGUAAAACUCUGUUGUUAGAGAAGAACAAGUGCUAGAGUAACUGUUAGCGCCUUGACGGUAUCUAACCAGAAAGCCACGGCUAACUACGUG
rnacentral:rRNA from 1 species